rnacentral:lncRNA from 1 species
AAUUUCGAUCCUUUUUAAAUUUUUUUUUGUGCUUAUUAUCAACUUAAUUGUUAAGAGAUGUAUAAAAUUUGAUUUAAAAUCAAUGGUUCAUUCAUUAAUUAUUGAGGUUUAAAUUUGCUAUAGGAAUUACUUGGGAUUGAUUAGGAUUUGAUUUAGGAUUAGAAUCAGGAUUUUGGAUUGAUUUAAGAUUUGAUUAGUGUUAAGAUUUGGUUAGAAUUUUGGAUUGAUUUAAGAUUUAGUUAAGAUUAGGAUUUGGUUAGGAUUUUGGAUUGAUUUAAGGUUUGAUUAGGAUUAUAAUUUUGUUAGGAUUUGUUUAGGAUUUGAUUAGGAUUUGAUUAAGAUUUAAUUAGAGUUUGACUAGAAUUUAUCUAAGAUUUGGUUAGAGCUUAAUUAGGACUUGUUUGAGAUUUGACUAAGAUUUUAUUAGGGUUUGAUUAGGAUUUAUUUAGAAUUUGAUUAGAAUUUGAUUAAAAAUUGAUUAGGACUUAUUUAGGAUUUGUUUAGGAUUUUUUUAGAAUUUAACUAGGAUUUGUUUAGGAUUUUUUUAGGAUUUUUUUAGGAUUUUUUUAAGAUUUGGUUAUAACUUAUUUAGGAGUUGAUUAGGAUUUGAUAAAGAUUUUACCAAGUUUUGACUAAGGUUUGAUUAAGCUUUGAAUAAAUU